UACAGAGGGUGCAAGCGUUAAUCGGAGUUACUGGGCGUAAAGGGCGCGUAGGCGGUGAUAUGAGUGUGAUGUGAAAGCCCCGGGCUUAACCUGGGAAGUGCAUCGCAAACGAUAUGACUAGAGUAUAUGAGAGGGUGGCGGAAUUUCCGGUGUAGCGGUGAAAUGCGUAGAGAUCGGGAGGAACGUCAAUGGCGAAGGCAGCCACCUGGCAUCAUACUGACGCUGAGGCGCGAAAGCGUGGGGAGCGAACAGG
rnacentral:rRNA from 1 species